UACGGAGGAUGCGAGCGUUAUCCGGAUUUAUUGGGUUUAAAGGGUGCGUAGGCGGGAUGCCAAGUCAGCGGUCAAAUACGGGGGCUCAACCCCUUCCCGCCAUUGAAACUGGCGGCCUCGAGUGGGCGAGAAGUAUGCGGAAUGCGUGGUGUAGCGGUGAAAUGCAUAGAUAUCACGCAGAACUCCGAUUGCGAAGGCAGCAUACCGGCGCCCGACUGACGCUGAGGCACGAAAGCGUGGGUAUCGAACAGG
rnacentral:rRNA from 1 species